rnacentral:rRNA from 1 species
GAUGAACGCUAGCGGCAGGCCUAAUACAUGCAAGUCGAACGGAUAUAUGUUUUUCGGAAUAUAUAUUAGUGGCGCACGGGUGAGUAACACGUACAUAACUUGCCCUCAAGCGGGGGAUAGCCUUGGGAAACUGAGAGUAAUACCCCAUAGAAUUAUUGGACGGCAUCGUUUGAUAAUUAAAACUACGGUGUUUGGGGAUAGAUGUGCGUCUGAUUAGCUAGUUGGUGAGGUAACUGCUCACCAAGGCGACGAUCAGUAGGGGGCGUGAGAGCGUGGCCCCCCCACACGGGUACUGAGACACGGACCCGACUCCUACGGGAGGCAGCAGUAAGGAAUAUUGGUCAAUGGAGGGAACUCUGAACCAGCCAUGCCGCGUGAAGGAUGACGGCCCUCUGGGUUGUAAACUUCUUUUGGAUGGGGCGAAAAAACGGGNUUUAUCCUGGACUGACGGUACCAUCAGAAUAAGCACCGGCUAACUCCGUG